CACAAGUUGGAAGUAAAGGACCUUAAGGAUCUCUCAGUAAGGGAUGACCUCAAACAAGGAUGAUGAGGAGAUGAAGCAAGUGACACUGGCUACAGCACCAAAACCUUUAGGUUGUAUCUGAGAUCUUCAGACAAUGCAUAAAACGGAAGAAAACUCAGACAUGCAUAUCAGAAGUGACACAAAAUUGUACAAAAGGAUAGAUAUGAGAUUCAGGAGCACCAGAGCACUUCACAGAAUAUGCAACCUGGAGGAAAACCUGCUAGCAUUUUGAAUAGGUUUGAAAGUUUAUUGAGUUUGAAAUUGAUCUUUACAAUUCAUUUUGCCUGUAAAUUUGUCCAUGACACUUCAUGAUAAAAAUUAAAUAUUACAUUGAAAAUAUCAUUCAAGAAUAACUAUUUUCUUGUUGCUAGAUGUUUUUUAGUUGUUGCAACGGUAUUAUGAUCAUAGUAGAUGGAG
rnacentral:lncRNA from 1 species